rnacentral:tRNA from 1 species
GGGCCUAUAGCUCAGUUGGGAGAGCGCCUGCCCUGCAAGCAGGAUGUCGUCGGUUCAAAUCCGUCUAGGUCCACCA